rnacentral:rRNA from 1 species
UACGUAGGGUGCAAGCGUUAAUCGGAAUUACUGGGCGUAAAGCGUGCGCAGGCGGUUAUGUAAGACAGGUGUGAAAGCCCCGGGCUCAGCCCGGGAAGUGCGCUCGAAACUGCACGGCUCGAGUGCCGGAGGGGAGAGUGGAAUUCCUGGUGUAGCGGUGAAAUGCGUAGAUAUCAGGAGGAAUACCGGUGGCGAAAGCGACUCUCUGGACGGCAACUGACGCUGAGGCACGAAAGCGUGGGGAGCAAACAGG